rnacentral:rRNA from 1 species
AGUAAACGCUGGCGGUAGGCCUAACACAUGCAAGUCGAACGGCAGCACAGUAAGAGCUUGCUCUUACGGGUGGCGAGUGGCGGACGGGUGAGGAAUACAUCGGAAUCUACUUUUUCGUGGGGGAUAACGUAGGGAAACUUACGCUAAUACCGCAUACGACCUACGGGUGAAAGCAUGGGAUCUUCGGACCUUGCGCGAUUGAAUGAGCCGAUGUCGGAUUAGCUAGUUGGCGGGGUAAAGGCCCACCAAGGCGACGAUCCGUAGCUGGUCUGAGAGGAUGAUCAGCCACACUGGAACUGAGACACGGUCCAGACUCCUACGGGAGGCAGCAGUGGGGAAUAUUGGACAAUGGGCGCAAGCCUGAUCCAGCCAUACCGCGUGGGUGAAGAAGGCCUUCGGGUUGUAAAGCCCUUUUGUUGGGAAAGAAAAGCAGCAGGUUAAUACCUCGCUGUUCUGACGGUACCCAAAGAAUAAGCACCGGCUAACUUCGUG